rnacentral:rRNA from 1 species
GGGUUGUGAGGUUAAGCGACUAAGCGUACACGGUGGAUGCCCUGGCAGUCAGAGGCGAUGAAGGACGUGCUAAUCUGCGAUAAGCGUCGGUAAGGUGAUAUGAACCGUUAUAACCGGCGAUUUCCGAAUGGGGAAACCCAGUGUGUUUCGACACACUAUCAUUAACUGAAUCCAUAGGUUAAUGAGGCGAACCGGGGGAACUGAAACAUCUAAGUACCCCGAGGAAAAGAAAUCAACCGAGAUUCCCCCAGUAGCGGCGAGCGAACGGGGAGCAGCCCAGAGCCUGAAUCAGUGUGUGUGUUAGUGGAAGCGUCUGGAAAGGCGCGCGAUACAGGGUGACAGCCCCGUACACAAAAAUGCACAUGCUGUGAGCUCGAUGAGUAGGGCGGGACACGUGGUAUCCUGUCUGAAUAUGGGGGGACCAUCCUCCAAGGCUAAAUACUCCUGACUGACCGAUAGUGAACCAGUACCGUGAGGGAAAGGCGAAAAGAACCCCGGCGAGGGGAGUGAAAAAGAACCUGAAACCGUGUACGUACAAGCAGUGGGAGCACGCUUAGGCGUGUGACUGCGUACCUUUUGUAUAAUGGGUCAGCGACUUAUAUUCUGUAGCAAGGUUAACCGAAUAGGGGAGCCGAAGGGAAACCGAGUCUUAACUGGGCGUUAAGUUGCAGGGUAUAGACCCGAAACCCGGUGAUCUAGCCAUGGGCAGGUUGAAGGUUGGGUAACACUAACUGGAGGACCGAACCGACUAAUGUUGAAAAAUUAGCGGAUGACUUGUGGCUGGGGGUGAAAGGCCAAUCAAACCGGGAGAUAGCUGGUUCUCCCCGAAAGCUAUUUAGGUAGCGCCUCGUGAAUUCAUCUCCGGGGGUAGAGCACUGUUUCGGCAAGGGGGUCAUCCCGACUUACCAACCCGAUGCAAACUGCGAAUACCGGAGAAUGUUAUCACGGGAGACACACGGCGGGUGCUAACGUCCGUCGUGAAGAGGGAAACAACCCAGACCGCCAGCUAAGGUCCCAAAGUCAUGGUUAAGUGGGAAACGAUGUGGGAAGGCCCAGACAGCCAGGAUGUUGGCUUAGAAGCAGCCAUCAUUUAAAGAAAGCGUAAUAGCUCACUGGUCGAGUCGGCCUGCGCGGAAGAUGUAACGGGGCUAAACCAUGCACCGAAGCUGCGGCAGCGACACUAUGUGUUGUUGGGUAGGGGAGCGUUCUGUAAGCCUGUGAAGGUGUGCUGUGAGGCAUGCUGGAGGUAUCAGAAGUGCGAAUGCUGACAUAAGUAACGAUAAAGCGGGUGAAAAGCCCGCUCGCCGGAAGACCAAGGGUUCCUGUCCAACGUUAAUCGGGGCAGGGUGAGUCGACCCCUAAGGCGAGGCCGAAAGGCGUAGUCGAUGGGAAACAGGUUAAUAUUCCUGUACUUGGUGUUACUGCGAAGGGGGGACGGAGAAGGCUAUGUUGGCCGGGCGACGGUUGUCCCGGUUUAAGCGUGUAGGCUGGUUUUCCAGGCAAAUCCGGAAAAUCAAGGCUGAGGCGUGAUGACGAGGCACUACGGUGCUGAAGCAACAAAUGCCCUGCUUCCAGGAAAAGCCUCUAAGCAUCAGGUAACAUCAAAUCGUACCCCAAACCGACACAGGUGGUCAGGUAGAGAAUACCAAGGCGCUUGAGAGAACUCGGGUGAAGGAACUAGGCAAAAUGGUGCCGUAACUUCGGGAGAAGGCACGCUGAUAUGUAGGUGAAGUCCCUCGCGGAUGGAGCUGAAAUCAGUCGAAGAUACCAGCUGGCUGCAACUGUUUAUUAAAAACACAGCACUGUGCAAACACGAAAGUGGACGUAUACGGUGUGACGCCUGCCCGGUGCCGGAAGGUUAAUUGAUGGGGUUAGCCGCAAGGCGAAGCUCUUGAUCGAAGCCCCGGUAAACGGCGGCCGUAACUAUAACGGUCCUAAGGUAGCGAAAUUCCUUGUCGGGUAAGUUCCGACCUGCACGAAUGGCGUAAUGAUGGCCAGGCUGUCUCCACCCGAGACUCAGUGAAAUUGAACUCGCUGUGAAGAUGCAGUGUACCCGCGGCAAGACGGAAAGACCCCGUGAACCUUUACUAUAGCUUGACACUGAACAUUGAGCCUUGAUGUGUAGGAUAGGUGGGAGGCUUUGAAGUGUGGACGCCAGUCUGCAUGGAGCCGACCUUGAAAUACCACCCUUUAAUGUUUGAUGUUCUAACGUUGACCCGUAAUCCGGGUUGCGGACAGUGUCUGGUGGGUAGUUUGACUGGGGCGGUCUCCUCCUAAAGAGUAACGGAGGAGCACGAAGGUUGGCUAAUCCUGGUCGGACAUCAGGAGGUUAGUGCAAUGGCAUAAGCCAGCUUGACUGCGAGCGUGACGGCGCGAGCAGGUGCGAAAGCAGGUCAUAGUGAUCCGGUGGUUCUGAAUGGAAGGGCCAUCGCUCAACGGAUAAAAGGUACUCCGGGGAUAACAGGCUGAUACCGCCCAAGAGUUCAUAUCGACGGCGGUGUUUGGCACCUCGAUGUCGGCUCAUCACAUCCUGGGGCUGAAGUAGGUCCCAAGGGUAUGGCUGUUCGCCAUUUAAAGUGGUACGCGAGCUGGGUUUAGAACGUCGUGAGACAGUUCGGUCCCUAUCUGCCGUGGGCGCUGGAGAACUGAGGGGGGCUGCUCCUAGUACGAGAGGACCGGAGUGGACGCAUCACUGGUGUUCGGGUUGUCAUGCCAAUGGCACUGCCCGGUAGCUAAAUGCGGAAGAGAUAAGUGCUGAAAGCAUCUAAGCACGAAACUUGCCCCGAGAUGAGUUCUCCCUGAC